UUCUUGCGCUGUCUGGUGAGCUCGCGUCGGCCCUUGAAAAUCCGAGUGAGGGAGUGUGAUUUUCGUGCCGGACCGUACCCACAUCCGCAGCAGGUCUCCAAGGUGAACAGCCUCUAGUCGAUGGACCAAUGUUAGUAAGGGAAGUCGGCAAAACGGAUCCGUAACCUUGGGAUAAGGACUGGCUCUGAGGACUGAGCCGGUCGGGCUGGGGACCUGAAGCAGGCACGGCACUGCACCGGGACUGGGCGGGGCUCGCCGUUCACGCGGCGCGGCCAAGCCCGGACCAGCGUCGGGACCUUCCUGUGGAAAGCCUCAGCUGCGCGGCGUCUGAGGGCUUCGUGCCCAAAGUGCUAUGCUUCGGCCGGCAAAAAACAGUCAACUCAGAACUGGCACGGACCGGGGGAAUCCGACUGUCUAAUUAAAACAAAGCAUUGCGAUGGCCGCUGGUCGGUGUUGACGCAAUGUGAUUUCUGCCCAGUGCUCUGAAUGUCAACGUGAAGAGAUUCAUCAAAGCGCGGGUAAACGGCGGGAGUAACUAUGACUCUCUUGACACCCCGGUGGGCUAUUUUCAUGCACCGGUGGAGAGUGGUGGGCUUGGGAUCCCUGCCUUGCGGCAUAUGCUGCCAAGGCUCAAGAUACAAAGAAUGGCCAUGCUUAGGAUGAGUGAUGUUCCUGCAUGCGGAGACGCAGUGAAAUGUCCAGCCCUCAAACUAGAAGAACAGAAGGCAAUGAAUCUGCUUACAGUGAAUGGAAGGGUCCUAACAACAGCAAAGGACGUGAAGGACCACUGGGCAGAACUCCUUCACAAUUCAGUGGAUGGAGCGCACAUGAGAACGUGCAAAGAGGUGCCCGAAUCUCAGCAAUGGGUCUCGGAUGGCACCCGCCUUUUGAGUGGCAGGGAUUUCGUCGACUGUGCGAAGCUGCGGAUCAAUGCAAUUCCGACGCUGGCCAGGACCUCUAGGGGUCGGA
rnacentral:ncRNA from 1 species